rnacentral:tRNA from 1 species
GCAUAACCAAGAGAUAGCUCAGUUGGUUGAGCAUGAGACUUUUAAUCUCAGGGUUGUGGGUUCGAUCCCCACAUUGGGCA